rnacentral:misc_RNA from 1 species
GAUGAAGAACGUAGCAAAAUGCGAUAAGUAAUGUGAAUUGCAGAAUUCAGUGAAUCAUCGAAUCUUUGAACGCACAUUGCGCCCGCUGGUAUUCCGGCGGGCAUGCCUGUUCGAGCGUCAUUUCAACCCUCAAGCCCCCGGGUUUGGUGUUGGGGAUCGGCUCUGCCCUUCUGGGCGGUGCCGCCCCCGAAAUACAUUGGCGGUCUCGCUGCAGCCUCCAUUGCGUAGUAGCUAACACCUCGCAACUGGAACGCGGCGCGGCCAUGCCGUAAAACCCCAACUUCUGAAUGUUGACCUCGGAUCAGGUAGGGAUACCCGCUGAACUUAAGCAUAUCAAUAAGCGGAGGA